rnacentral:rRNA from 1 species
UUAUCCUACGGGACGCAGCAGUGAGGAAUAUUGGUCAAUGGGCGCGAGCCUGAACCAGCCAAGUCGCGUGAGGGAAGACGGUCCUAUGGAUUGUAAACCUCUUUUGUCGGGGGGCAAAAGACGCCACGUGUGGCGUUCCGAGAGUACCCGAAGAAAAAGCAUCGGCUAACUCCGUGCCAGCAGCCGCGGUAAUACGGAGGAUGCGAGCGUUAUCCGGAUUUAUUGGGUUUAAAGGGAGCGCAGGCGGAAGAUCAAGUCAGCGGUAAAAUUGAGAGGCGCAACCUCUUCAAGCCAUUGAACCUGGU